UGCGGCAGGCCUAACACAUCAAGUCGAACGGAAACAUGUCUAGCUUGCUAGAUGAUGUCGAGUGGCGGACGGGUGAGUAAUGCUUGGGAACUUGCCUUUGCGAGGGGGAUAACAGUUGGAAACGACUGCUAAUACCGCAUAAUGUCUUCGGACCAAACGGGGCUUAGGCUCCGGCGCAAAGAGAGGCCCAAGUGAGAUUAGCUAGUUGGUGAGGUAAAGGCUCACCAAGGCAACGAUCUCUAGCUGUUCUGAGAGGAAGAUCAGCCACACUGGGACUGAGACACGGCCCAGACUCCUACGGGAGGCAGCAGUGGGGAAUAUUGCACAAUGGGGGAAACCCUGAUGCAGCCAUGCCGCGUGUGUGAAGAAGGCUUCGGGUUGUAAAGCACUUUCAGUUGUGAGGAAAAGUUAGUAGUUAAUACCUGCUAGCCGUGACGUUAACAACAGAAGAAGCACCGGCUAACUCCGUGCCAGCAGCCGCGGUAAUACGGAGGGUGCGAGCGUUAAUCGGAAUUACUGGGCGUAAAGCGCACGCAGGCGGUUUGUUAAGCUAGAUGUGAAAGCCCCGGGCUCAACGUGGGACNGUCAUUUAGAACUGGCAGACUAGAGUCUUGGAGAGGGGAGUGGAAUUCCAGGUUUAGCGGUGAAAUGCUUAGAUAUCUG
rnacentral:rRNA from 1 species